CGCCGGUAUAACCAAGUUAGUGAAAGAGUCGCGUAACUAAGUGAAAAAGAGAAGAUGAACCUCCAUCUAACGUCACAACUACUCACAAUAAUAAGGCAUGUCUCGCCACUGGCUUCACUUGUACAAUGAUUGGUGAUGAAGAGUCCACACCUGGGGCAACUACACUGAUGAAGCAUAUGUCAAGCUGCCAAAAGGAAGUGAUGUAAUUCUGCCUAGCGGCUCACCAGCAAACUCUGAGACUUGCUGAGAUGAAAGACGAAGACGACAGUGGGGAGGAUGAUGAUGAUGUGGAGGGGGAGGAGUGACGGCAGCAUGCUGGUGAUCUGUCUCUUCUGAGCGAGCUUGAGGGCAGAUGAGGCUUCACAUUCGUCCCAGUUGACACCCCAUUUCAGCCUCUGUCCAAGUCUUUUGGUGAUCCUCAGCGAAAACAAGGUACCGUUCCCAAAACAAACAUGAAUCACUGUCGUCCCCCUCAAUAUGAGACCCAGGUGUUGGGUCUCAUAUUGCAGCUCGUCCCAGCUGGUUGGUCUAACUGUUAUCCUUGUAUAUAAAUAUCAAGAUGUAUUGCUGCACCAUUUUGAUCUAUAACGCGGUAAUAGCUGUCCAAGAGCAUUAAGCAGUGAGACAAUGUUUAUCUGUUAUGUAAGCAUGACAACGCCACAGAGAAGACAUGACAUAGAUAGAACAAAAAAACAUCCAUCAUCCUUUCCUCUCACUUCUUCCAUCCCUCUCUCUGAGUCCAGGCUGUUUCCUGUAGCUGAGCUCAGCACUGAUAUCAACCCUGCCCGUCCUACUGCCCCCGACCUUUGCCCUGUUGAAGCGGGUGAGGAAGUGUCGGUGGGAACUGGCUGGGUCAGGUCGGGUGACUCAGGUCCCAGUCCUGGGAUUCUGGUUCCUGACUGCUCUGCAGGCCUGCUGUCUCUCUCUGUAUCAAGCAGUCCACAUGUGUUUCCUGUUGUUUUUCAGACUAGCAGCACUGUGUCGGCUCACCACACAAGAGCUGGGUCUUUUCCUGAGGCUUUGUUUGGCCUGGCCUCUGGGAAUGGCUUAAAUUUAGG